GGAAUAUUGGACAAUGGGGGCAACCCUGAUCCAGCAAUGCCGCGUGUGUGAAGAAGGCCUGCGGGUUGUAAAGCACUUUUGUGGGGAAAGAGGGGCUAGCGCGCUAAUACCGUGUUUGGUCUGACGGUACCCCACGAAUAAGCACCGGCUAACUCCGUGCCAGCAGCCGCGGUAAUACGGAGGGUGCGAGCGUUAAUCGGAAUUACUGGGCGUAAAGCGCACGUAGGCGGUUGCUUAAGCGAGAUGUGAAAGCCCGGGGCUCAACCCCGGAAUUGCAUUUCGAACUGGGCGACUAGAGUACGAGAGAGGGUGGUAGAAUUUCCAGUGUAGCGGUGAAAUGCGUAGAGAUUGGAAGGAAUACCGGUGGCGAAGGCGGCCACCUAGCUCGAUACUGACGCUGAGGUGCGAAAGCGUGGGGAGCAAA
rnacentral:rRNA from 1 species